AUACGGAGGGUGCAAGCGUUAUCCGGAAUCAUUGGGUUUAAAGGGUCCGUAGGCGGGCUAUUAAGUCAGAGUUGAAAUCCCACAGCUCAACUGUGGAACUGCCUUUGAUACUGAUAGUCUUGAGUUACAGUGAAGUAGAUAGAAUAUGUAGUGUAGCGGUGAAAUGCAUAGAUAUUACAUAGAAUACCGAUUGCGAAGGCAGUCUACUAACUGUAUUCUGACGCUGAUGGACGAAAGCGUGGGGAGCGAACAGGAUUAGAUACCCCAGUAGUCC
rnacentral:rRNA from 1 species